AUUGAACGCUGGCGGCAGGCCUAACACAUGCAAGUCGAACGAGUGGCGGACGGGUGAGUAAUGUCUGGGAAACUGCCCGAUGGAGGGGGAUAACUACUGGAAACGGUAGCUAAUACCGCAUACCAUCGGAUGUGCCCAGAUGGGAUUCGCUAGUAGGUGGGGUAACGGCUAACCUAGGCGACGAUCCCUAGCUGGUCUGAGAGGAUGACCAGCAAAACUGGAACUGAGACACGGUCCAGACUCCUACGGGAGGCAGCAGUGGGGAAUAUUGCACAAUGGGCGCAAGCCUGAUACAGCAAUGCCGCGUGUAUGAAGAAGGCCUUCGGGUUGUAAAGUACUUUCAGCGAGGAGGCGUUACUCGAAGAAGAAGCAACGGCUAACUCCGUGCCAGCAGCCGCGGUAAUUC
rnacentral:rRNA from 1 species